UCGAGGAUAUUUAGCAAUGCCCGAAAGGGUGACUAUGCGACGCCGCGUGUGCGAUGAAGGUCUUCGGAUUGUAAAGCACUGUCAGCCGGGAGGAAGGCUGAUCCCCUAAUACGGGAGCAGAUUGACAGUACCGGCAGAGGAAGCCACGGCUAACUCCGUGCCAGCAGCCGCGGUAAUACGGAGGUGGCAAGCGUUACUCGGAUUGAUUGGGUGUAAAGGGUGUGUAGGUGGCGGGUUAAGUCGAAUGUGAAAUCCCUUGGCUCAACCAAGGAACUGCAUUCGAAACUGGUCUGCUUGAGCGACAGAGAGGUAGAUGGAAUUCCCGGUGUAACAGUGAAAUGUGUAGAUAUCGGGAGGAACACCAGUGGCGAAGGCGAUCUACUGGCUGUCUGCUGACACU
rnacentral:rRNA from 1 species